GAGCAUUUCGUCAGAGUGAGGAGGAGAAACACACGCGUUCGUUAAGCCGUCGUCAUUCAUACAAAACUCGUGGUUUCCCGUCUAGGUACACUACAGUCAAAGGCUCCGGCCAGCGAUUGCACUUCGGGUCGGGAAAAGCGCAUUUUAUUUUGACUCGUCCGUCGUCGCGAUCGCACACGUUUUUCCGAGGUGGUUCCGUGGUUUGCCUUUCUUCCGCCCGCGGGGAACCGGAACAGCUCCGGAAUUUGUUUUCAUUCGAGUGCCGUGUUUACAGUCAAUUUGUUAUUGUGCGUUGGUGUGUCUUUGGCAGAUUAUAUUGCUGAUUCGAGCAGAAAUCGGUUUGCCGCGGCCUACUUUGUUUGCUGAUUUGGGGUGUUUUUGUAUUUCUUUUGUUUAUUGCUCCACGUUCUCUCUUCUGGUGAACUUGAUCGCGAAUCGCGUGGAUUCAUAAAGCUUGUGGAAGUUGGCGCGUGAUCGAAGUAUCGCGCGCACAGGCAAGAAGGAAAAAAGCAGUGAAGAUCUGAGCGAAAAGCCGAGUGUACUGCCUUUUUUUAAAUCGCCCGCCUGAAGAUAGUUUUGACAAAUGGUGAUUAAUUGAGCGGUCGCUCUACUGAUUAAAGUGCAAGGAGGUGUGCGAGUGUAGGUAUUUCAUUCCGUUCGGAAAUUAUCGAUGCGCAACUAAAGGUUUUGUCACCAACGGAAAACAGCAGGUGGGGCAACCGAGUGUAAAAACGGGUGGGUAAGCGAGCGAGCGCGACACCCCGAAGAAAGCCGAUCACGCGAGACGAAGUGAUUUCUCGCUCGAACGAACCCGAUCGAUUGUUAUCGCAUCACGCGCCAAAGCGCCGAGCCGAUGUGAUGUGAGUGAGUGUUGUUCACAAGUGUGACGAAGCGAUACAAUCAAAGCAGGCGUGAAAAACGAGCUAUACGGAUAUUGGGUUACUCUUCCGAAGAUUUCAACGAACUUCGACUAAGGACCACAUCAUCAACGACUUCAACCAAAAGUAAAUCACCGAAAAUGGAUAUCGGUUGGAGAAAAUAACAUCGAACGAUAUUCCAGAACCAUGGAUGUACCGCCCAAGUCCCGUUACACGGACACCUCGUACA